rnacentral:rRNA from 1 species
ACGGGAGGCAGCAGUGGGGGAUAUUGCACAGUGGGGGAAACCCUGAUGCAGCGACGCCGCGUGAGUGAUGAAGUAUUUCGGUAUGUAAAGCUCUAUCAGCAGGAAAGAUAAUGACGGUACCUGACUAAGAAGCACCGGCUAAAUACGUGCCAGCAGCCGCGGUAAUACGUAUGGUGCAAGCGUUAUCCGGAUUUAUUGGGUUUAAAGGGUGCGUAGGCUGUGCGACAAGUCAGGGGUGAAAGCCCGCCGCCCAACGGUGGAACUGCCUUUGAUACUGUCGCGCUGGAAUACGGAUGCCGUGGGAGGAAUGAGUAGUGUAGCGGUGAAAUGCAUAGAUAUUACUCAGAACACCGAUUGCGAAGGCAUCUCACGAAUCCGUCAUUGACGCUGAGGCACGAAAGCGUGGGGAUCAAACAGGAUUAGAUACCCUGGUA